rnacentral:rRNA from 1 species
AUUGAACGCUGGCGGCAGGCCUAACACAUGCAAGUCGAGCGGAGCGGCGGACGGGUGAGUAAUGCCUAGGAAUCUGCCUGGUAGUGGGGGAUAACGUCCGGAAACGUGCGCUAAUACCGCAUACUAUCAGAUGAGCCUAGGUCGGAUUAGCUAGUUGGUGGGGGAAAGGCCUACCAAGGUGACGAUCCGUAACUGGUCUGAGCGGAUGAUCAGUCACACUGGAAUUGAGACCCGGUCCAGAGUCCUACGUGAGGCAGCAUUGGGGAAUAUUGGACAAUGGGCGAAAGCCUGAUACAGCCAUGCCGCGUGUGUGAAGAAGGUCUUCGGAUUGUAAAGUACUUUCAGCGGGGAGGCGUUACCCGCAGAAGAAGCACCGGCUAACUCCGUGCCAGCCGCCGCGGUAAUUC